GAUUAACGCUGGCGGCGUGCAUAACACAUGCAAGUCGAACGAUGAAACUUAACUGAUUUCUUCGGAAUGAUUUUAAGUGGAUUAGUGGCGGACGGGUGAGUAACGCGUGAGUAACCUGCCUUGGAGAAGGGGAUAGCCUUUGGAAACGAAGAAUAAUACCCUAUGAUAUGAUAAUAUCUCAUGAUAUUAUCAUCAAAGAUUUAUCGCUCUAAGAUGGACUUGCGUCUGAUUAGUUAGUUGGUGAGGUAACAGCUCACCAAGGCAGCGAUCAGUAGCCGGCUUGAGAGAGUGUACGGCCACAUUGGGACUGAGACACGGCCCAGACUCCUACGGGAGGCAGCAGUGGGGAAUUUUGCACAAUGGGGGAAACCCUGAUGCAGCGACGCCGCGUGAUUUAGAAGGCCUUCGGGUUGUAAAAAUCCUUUGUAUGGGAAGAAAAUGACAGUACCAUACGAAUAAGGACCGGCUAAUUACGUG
rnacentral:rRNA from 1 species